UGUCCAGUAUUAAUAAUGUUCGUAGUUUUUGGCGCUGAAUUAAUCAAUUUAUAUGCAUGUUAUAUGUUUGUGCUUCCUAUUGAAUUGACUAAAGAGAUUUGUUCUGAUGGUUGAGGUGUUGAACUAGGCUGAAGUUGGUUUUGGGUGCCUGAGAUAUACUGAAUUGUGAGAGUAUGUAACAUAAACUGUGUUGAGAACUUGAGAUCCAUCCUUAAACUGCUUUGGGUGUCUAUCAGAAAUGGGAUUUUGUUAUGGGCUGUAACAAUUAAGUUAGUUUAUAGUGGGUAUAUUAGAGAGAUUAGUGAGAUCAUGUAUUGAUGAGCCCAAAUUGCUUUGGAUUUGGAAUUAAUCCUUUCUAUUUGUAUGCUUAUCUAUAUCAAUAAGUUUUGUUAUUAAGAAUUGAACUUUUGACCUUUUCAAAUGAUUUAAAUUGCGGCUGCAAUGUUGUGGUUGCGGUAACUAUCCUAACUUCAUCACACUGACGCAACUGUAUUAGACUGCAUUAGGUCGCAUUGAACUUUAUCAGAUUGCAUUGGGCUGCAUUGAAUUCAAAGAUAUUUUUUUAAUCAUAAAAUAAAACACUGCUCAGGAUGUUAUCUGUUGUUCACUGGAUUGAUGUCUUGACUUUCCUAUAUCUUGGUCUUUGGCAUGAAGUCUUCCUGUGAAACCUGGAUCUUGUUGAACUUAGUGGGAUCAUAGUCUUGACCGGAUCAAUGGUGAGUUUUUGGCCAUUUGGGUUCUGUUCUUCAUGCAUUGGCUGGCCUGUUGAUUCUGUAACCUGCACUUGACUGGUCCAUUAUGUCUUGCACCUGUGUGAUUUGAAACUCUUAAAUUUUGAAUUCUUUAGUCCCAAUGCUGAGUAGUAUAAGAUUAUUCAAUAUCAGCCACCUUAGUUAUCACUUAUCCUUGUGAACAAGUGCACCAGAUUAUAGGUAAC